rnacentral:rRNA from 1 species
GACGAACGCUGGCGGCGUGCUUAACACAUGCAAGUCGAACGGAAAGGCCCUGCUUUUGUGGGGUGCUCGAGUGGCGAACGGGUGAGUAACACGUGAGUAACCUGCCCUUUACUUUGGGAUAACUUCAGGAAACUGGGGCUAAUACCGGAUAGGAGCUCCUGCUGCAUGGUGGGGGUUGGAAAGUUUCGGCGGUUGGGGAUGGACUCGCGGCUUAUCAGCUUGUUGGUGGGGUAGUGGCUUACCAAGGCUUUGACGGGUAGCUGGCCUGAGAGGGUGAGCAGCAGCACUGGGACUGAGACACGGCCGAGACUCCUACGGGAGGCAGGAGUGGGGAAUAUUGGACAAUGGGGGCAAACAUGAUCCAGCCAUGACGCGUGAGUGAAGAAGGCAUUCGGGUUGUAAAGCUAUUUCGACGGGGACGAUGAUGACGGUACCCGUAGAAGAAGCCCCGGCAAACUUCGUG